UAGUGAACUUGUUGACGCUACCACACUA
rnacentral:piRNA from 1 species